rnacentral:lncRNA from 1 species
UUUUUUAUUUCUAUCUCCUCUAUAUUGUUCUCAACAACAACUUCUUCUGUUUUUGUUUCCUCUUCCAACAUCUCUAGCUCUUCUUCCUCUUUCUUUUCCUCAUUGAGAACCUUAUCAUGUGCAAAGAUAGUGGCUUGACAUUCUUCUUUAGGGUUGACUUCAGUAUCAACCUUAAUAAUGCCCAAAGCCUUCAGGGCAUGAGAGUGUUGUUCCUGCAACAAAC